AAGUCGUAACAAGGUUUCCGUAGGUGAACCUGCGGAAGGAUCAUUAAAGUAUUUAAUUGGAUGCACUGAGUUAACUAAACUUGAUUUGGUUGCAUUUCAAUAUACAUUGUGAACUGUUGACAAACAAACAACUUUUGUUGUAACCCGAACGAGUACUUCACUAUAGAUACACCUUGGUGUAGAAGUAUGUGGUAUACUUGUUAGGUGUUGCUUCAUUUACUCUAAUUUAAUUUAUGACAACAUAAAAACAAUAAUAUAAAUACAACUUUUAACAAUGGAUCUCUAGGCUCCU
rnacentral:misc_RNA from 1 species